CAAAUCCCGACCCCGCUCCUUCAGCCUCUCCCUGCCCUGGCCCCGCCGCGCCUCGCUGCGCCCCUCAGACCCCCCCGAGGAGGCGCAGGAUGAGGAGGACGGGGUCUUUGACACCCACCUGUGACAGAGUCCUGAAGGCUUCGGAGCCCCCCUGACCCCCGGGAUUUUGGGGGGUUUUGGGGGGUCCCGACCCCCCCCCCCCGGAAUUUUGGGGGGUUUUUGGGGUCUCAGUGUCGGUGGGAAUAAACUCCGUGUCCGUG